GCGAGGAUAGCUCAGUUGGGAGAGCGUGAGAUUGAAGCUUUGAAGGUUGCGUGUUCAAUCCACGCUCAUCGCA